UCGGGAAUAUUGGACAAUGGGCGCAAGCCUGAUCCAGCCAUGCCGCGUGAGUGAUGAAGGCCUUCGGGUCGUAAAACUCUUUUCUGAGGGAAGAAUGAUCAGGGCAGGAAAUGGCCUUGGUGUGACGGUACCUCAGGAAUAAGCAACGGCUAACUCCGUGCCAGCAGCCGCGGUAAUACGGAGGUUGCAAGCGUUGUUCGGAAUAACUGGGCGUAAAGGGAGCGCAGGCGGCUCUAUAAGUCUGGAGUGAAAUCCCGGGGCUUAACCUCGGAAGUGCUUUGGAUACUGUAGGGCUUGAGUGUGCGAGAGGAAAGCGGAAUUCCAGGUGUAGCGGUGAAAUGCGUAGAUAUCUGGAGGAACACCGGUGGCGAAAGCGGCUUUCUGGCGCAUAACUGACGCUAAGGCUCGAAAGCGUGGGGAGCAAACA
rnacentral:rRNA from 1 species